rnacentral:rRNA from 1 species
AUUGAACGCUGGCGGCAGGCUUAACACAUGCAAGUCGAACGAGUGGCGGAAGGGUGAGUAAUGCUUGGGAAUAUGGCUUAUGGAGGGUGAUAAGUACGGGAAACUGUGGCGAAUACCGCGUACCAUAGGAUGAGCUCAAGUGGGAUUAGGUAGUUGGUGGGGUAAAGGCGCACCAAGCCGACGAUCUCUAGCUGGUCUGAGAGGAUGACCAGCCACACUGGGACUGAGACACGGCCCAGACUCCUACGGGAGGCAGCAGUGGGGAAUAUUGCGCAAUGGGGGCAACCUGACGCAGCCAUGCCGCGUGAAUGAAGAAGGCCUUCGGGUUGUAAAGUUCUUUCGGUAGCGAGGCGUUAACUACAGAAGAAGCACCGGCUAACUCCGUGCCAGCCGCCGCGGUAAUAC